GUGUCUAUUGGCACUGGCGGCAGAAUGUAUUAGAAUGUCUAUAAACUUGCGGACCAGUUUGUAUAGUUAAAUUUGGCAUGCGAACUAUAAUUGAAAUAGAAAGCCAGAAUAGGUGCAUUGCAGAUCACAAAGAUUUCUGUAAAAGAACAUACGAUUUAUCAAUAUACCGUAUAGUGAACAAAAAAAUAAUAAGCCACCAAUAUAAACGGACACUUUGUUAAACCGUACAUAUUAUUAUAAUGUAAGUUUUAACACAAACUCGCAAAUUUCGUUAUGAUCUGGUUAUUUUCAUAAAAUAUUUCGAUACUUUCAAGUUUCAACUCAUCGGAGUGAGAUGAUUAGACAAAGAUGGAUGAAGAUAGCUGUUUCUUCGGCAAUGGCGGCACUCUAGCUACGUUUCACCGGAAGAGUAGAUGUUUACGAGUGACGUAGAAGCAUUUACAAGUUUAAUCCCAAAAGCGCAAUGUAUAAAAUACGCGAGACCGUCUUCGUUUCACCACGCCAAGUUUAAUACGCACUUUUUUGCAUGUUAUACUAUACGCCGGGUAUCACCUUAGGUUUGCGCGAAGUAUUUAAAACAAUAUAAUGUUAUUAAUCUUUGUAUUUUAUUAGCAUACUUACAUCUUUUUUAGUGUAGUUUAUACCCUAG